UACUGAGGCUGGUUUCACUGAGCAGCAAGCAG
rnacentral:SRP_RNA from 1 species